rnacentral:rRNA from 1 species
GUUUAUGGCCAUACCACCCUGAAUGCGCCCCAUCUCAUCUGAUCUCAGAAGCUAAGCAAGAUUGGGCCUGGUUAGUACUUGGAUGGGAGAAAAGCCUAGAAGUAUGGGCA